rfam:Paramecium tetraurelia chromosome undetermined scaffold_194, whole genome shotgun sequence.
GUCAGCUUGGCCGAGUGGUUAUGGCGGUAGAUUAGAAAUCUAUUGGGUUUACCCGCGCAGGUUCGAAUCCUGCAGUUGACG